GACGAACGCUGGCGGCGUGCUUAACACAUGCAAGUCGAACGGAAAGCCCUGCUUUCCCUUGUGGAUUGCGGGUACUCGAGUGGCGAACGGGUGAGUAACACGUGAGUGAUCUGCCCCCAACUUGGGUAUAAGCCUGGGAAACUGGGUCUAAUUCCCGAUAGGACUGCAGGGUGGUGCCUGUGGUGGAAAACGAUUUUCUAGUGGUUGGGGAUGAGCUCGCGGCCUAUCAGCUUGUUGGUGGGGUAAUGGCCUACCAAGGCGGCGACGGGUAGCCGGCCUGAGAGGGUGGACGGCCACAUUGGGACUGAGAUACGGCCCAGACUCCUACGGGAGGCAGCAGUGGGGAAUAUUGCACAAUGGGCGGAAGCCUGAUGCAGCGACGCCGCGUGGGGGAUGACGGCCUUCGGGUUGUAAACUCCUUUCGACCGCGAGGAAGCCACCUGGUUGGAAGGGUGGUGACGGUAGUGGUAGAAGAAGCACCGGCUAACUACGUG
rnacentral:rRNA from 1 species